ACCUUAAAUCAAGCCUAACAAUUACUGUACAUAAAACUAUUACAUUUCUACAACUAAAUAAAACAUUUUCUUACUUUUUAGUAGAGGUGAUCAAAAAAUUUCUAAGCGCUUUAUAUCAAGUACCGCAAGGGAAUGAUGAAAUAGCUAUGAAAUAGCCCCAAAGUACUAAACAGCAGAGAUUCCACUCGUACCUUUUGCAUCAUGGUUUAGCCAGUCCUAAUCAAGCAAAGCGAAACAUUAGUUUGAUAUCCCGAAACUAGGCGAGCUACUUCGAAACAGCUUAAUAGAGCCAACCCGUCUCUGUUGCAAAAGAGUGGGAUGAUUUCCAAGUAGAAGUGAAAAGCCUACCGAGCCUAGAGAUAGCUGGUUAUUCAAGAAAAGAAUUUUAGUUCUCCCUUAAGCUUUAAUAUGAAAUUAAACAACACAUCAAGCUUAAGAGUUAUUCAAUUAAGGCACAGCUUAUUUGAAAAAGAACACAGUCUUUAACCAAGGGUAAGUAACAAAAUUCAUGUCAAGUGGGCCUGAAAGCAGCCACCUUUAAGAAAGCGUUAAAGCUCCCCAUAAUCUUCACUAUUAAAUACCAAUGUUUACAUCGAACCCUUCAUCAAUACUGAAUGACCCUAUAAAUUAUAGGAGACAUAAUGCUAGAACUAGUAACAAGAAAUUGACUUUCUCCGAAAUGCAAGUGUACGCCAAAACGGACCCACCAUUGGCAUUUACCGUGUUUGACCCUAAUAUAGUAACGCCCCUAGAAAAACCUAUUGUUCUUCACGUUAACCUAACACAAGAGCAUUACCGGAAAGAUUAAAAGAGAAAGAAGGAACUCGGCAAAUUAAGCCCCGCCUGUUUACCAAAAACAUCGCCUCUUGAUAAGAUAUAAGAGGUCCAGCCUGCCCAGUGACAUAGUUAAACGGCCGCGGUACCCUGACCGUGCGAAGGUAGCAUAAUCACUUGUUCCUUAAAUAGGGACUUGUAUGAAAGGCAUCACGAGGGCUUUACUGUCUCCUUUCUCCAAUCAGUGAAACUGAUCUCCCCGUGAAGAAGCGGGGAUACAAUUAUAAGACGAGAAGACCCCAUGGAGCUUUAAACCCAACGACACCCCUCAACCCCAUAAUCCUUUAUAGUUGCUACAGCCCUGUUCGUUGGUUUUAGGUUGGGGUGACCGCGGAGCAUAAAAUACCCUCCACGACGAAUGGGACUACCCCCUUACCCAAGAGCUACUCCUCUAAGGAUCAAUAAAUUGACGUAAAAUGAUCCAAGUAAUUGAUCAACGGACCAAGUUACCCUGGGGAUAACAGCGCAAUCCAUUUCAAGAGCCCCUAUCGACAAAUGGGUUUACGACCUCGAUGUUGGAUCAGGGUAUCCAAGUGGUGCAGCCGCUACUAAUGGUUUGUUUGUUCAACAAUUAAAACCCUACGUGAUCUGAGUUCAGACCGGAGCAAUCCAGGUCGGUUUCUAUCUAUAAAGUGUUACUCUUAGUACGAAAGGAUUAGAGUAACGUGGCCAAUAUAUAAACAAGCCACAGCCCACGACUAAUGAAAAAAACUUAAUUAGCCUCAGCCUAUUACUUCUUCUUAGACCAAGAU
rnacentral:rRNA from 1 species